GAAACUUUGGAGCGCUUAGAUUAGCGAGCAAGGUCCUGGCCGAUCGCUGGGUCACACCGGUGUUCUGUUGAUUUGUGCUACCCUGUCAGAUUUUCCUACCUCCCAUUAAAACAGUAGGUGGUACAUUUCAAUAACGAAAAACACUACCUGUUAAAUUAUGAUUUAUUAAUGUCUACACCUACCACGACCCUAAACCUACCCUUACAGUAAUGCAAAUACAGUAAUUAUGUGUUAUAUUUGCGGUUGUGGCUAAAAGGGAUACAGCUACCGGAAACCAACAAUAAAUAAUUAUUUCUAUCUAUUAGAUUGUGUUUUAUUAACGUCUACACCUACCCUAACCCUAAACCUACCCCUUACAGUAAUGCAGAUGCAUUAAAUAUUGUUGUUCAGCGUGAAAAAAGGACAAAAUAGUGAUAUGCGCAGUAAGCCCUGGUAGGAAAAUGUACCAUCGUGGAUCACAAGAAUAACUAAACUAUCAUAUCUGUUAUCAUACCAAAACAUUAUAAUCAGUGUUGUUUCAAAGUAAAAAAAAAAAAGUAAAAAUCAUCAUAACCUUAUCCUAAUAUGCACUUUAUCCUGACAAGCAUGCACAUAAACACACAAGCACAUGCAUGUAAAAUCUCCUUCUUCUCUAAUGACGCCUCACUGCUUGUGAAAACUGAGAAAGCAAUUCCUCUCAACAGAAAAAUCAUAAUAUGUGCAGAUAUAGUAUGUGAAUUACUAUUUUUGCAAAUGCAUUACAAAAUCAUGCAAAACUUCUAAUACAUUUAGAUCAUUCUAACUCUUUUCCUUACAAAGAUCAUAUACUUGUACUCUGACAGUAUGCCUGCAUGGCCGUAUGUGAGUCUAUUACAGUACAAUGUUGUUUUUUUGUAAUUUCCUGAUACAUUUGAUUAAAUAUGUAAUGUUUUUGAAAAUACUUCUUUACUUUCCAGUGAAGGUGACUAAGAUUUUUUGUAGGAAAUUAUGUGUACGGAAAUUGAUAAAAUGCACUUUUCACAGGACAAAAUAUGGAGUCAUGUGACAUGUGCACAUGUCCUGAAAGUGGAAACAAAAUGGACCCGUGUGGAUCAUGUGACCACCUUUUUGUAUGUUCAUUUAUUAGUUAAAAGCGGGGACGUCAAGUCGGACACUUUCUGCUCCCGGUAGAUGCUCGCACGGUGUGGAGUGAAAUAAAUGCAAUAUUUGUCAAACACACAGACGUUUCAGAAACGUUUUCAUGAGCAACAAACACUUUUUAUAUACUGCUUAAUACAGCACCAUCUGUUCAUGAAUACAUUUCAACAAACAUAUACUAUUUAAAUACCAAUAAAGUGGGGGUAUGCUUUUAUCUGUGUUUUUUGUUAAACGUGACUCAAUAUAACACUGCGACUACACUAAAAAAGCUUUACUGUUAUAAAAACACAGAUUUGUAAGCAUUAUGGAAAUUUAAUUGUGAGAAUAAACACACAACACAGGUCUGCUUGUCAUCAGAAUCUGACCAAUCAGAAUAAAGUGUCGUCAUCAAGGCUCAAAAUAACAAUAUCAAUACAAAGACAGAAGGAGAGCCCUCUUGUGGCUAUCAUACACACUCCGGCUGGCAGGUGUGACACUAAUCAAGUCCUUCAGGCUUAUUUGAGAACUACAGUAACAGAGUUUUGCACCCCUGGUUUAAACUGCCUCUUUCUUACAAUCGACUGCAAGCUCACAUUCAUAUCUGCGUCUGUUGUUGAGUGCAGUGAUCACAUCUCAGGAUCCACUCAACAAACACUGACACGUGAUGGACAGAAACAAGUCCUGACUUCAUUUUUCUUUUUUGAUAAUCAUUAAGAAAACAGAAGAUAUGAUCUGAUGCUACUUCUGUUUCCUUCUGACUUUAAAAUGUGGAUGUGAGUUCUGAGAGUUUUAAGAGACUUCAGUUAAAAAAUGCAGUUUUCAUUCUCAUAAAUAACUGAACUCUACACUGUAACCGAUUUCUGUAAUUUGAACAGUAUUUUACUGUAUUAUGUACAGUAAGAUACUGUAAAUGUAUAUACAGUAUUUUACUGUAAACUGCAAAGGAUUAUGGGAAAAUGUAUGGUCACUACAGUAAACUACUGUAAAUGUACAGUAGUGAACUUGCCCGCGAAAAACUGACCAGUGGCAAGGGAGAUUUAUUUUGUUUGCCGUUUGGUGGAAGCAGCGGUAGAAGGACAAAAGAGACACUUUGCACUGUUAACUAGACAAAAAGGUUAGUAGGCAUAUAUUAUUUCUGUUUUAUGCAAAACUGAGAUAUUUUCAGAUGUUUUAACUUAUUAACAGCAAACUAACAUUAUUCAUCAUGUCGUUUUUCAUGUCGGGAGUUGGGGCCUUUUUUUCUGACUGAAGGCCGGAUUUAACGCCGCCAUAACGGUGAUAACCUCGACUGUCUAGAUUUCGUCGACAACGUCAGAGGUGUAUUUUGGCGCCUCUUCUUGUGACUGGCAUAGUUUCGAUGAUAACAUCAACUGUUUGUGGUCUUGUGGUCAUGUCGUCUGCAUCGGAGGAGUAUUGGAGUAUUUUCCUGUGAUUGCCGUCGUAACAACAGGUUCAUUCAGAUCUUUGUGGCACCAAAUGCAUUGAAAGUCACAGGUCAGCUGGAAUUCUGGAAAGAGGGUGCAAAGAAAAAGGAUCUGCCUGAAUCCCAUCCUGCUGUUUCUCAUCGGAGAGCUUGUCAACUUUGACUGUCAAAAUUACUGAAAUUUAACACAACACAAACUCAUUUUUACUGUUACUAUUAUUUGAUUUUUAUUAACACUACCAGUCAAAAGUUUUUGAACGGUAAGAUUUUUAAUGUUUUUAAAGAAGCCUCUUCUGCUCACCAAGCCUGCAUUUAUUUGAUCCAAAGUACAGCAAAAUCAGUACAAUUUUGAAAUAUUUUUACUAUUUAAAAUAAAUGUUUUCUAUUUGAAUAUAUUUUAAAAUGUAAU